CCCUCCUGCGCCUUCCUGCUCCCCCAGACCCAGGGCAAAGCAUCUUCCCUUCUCUUUGCUUUCCCUUUCCCUCCCCAGCAGCUUGGGGAAUAAAUAAGCUGAGCACGGUCUCCACUCCUUGCCAGGAUCAGUCCUUCUCUUCUCCUCCCUCCUUGUCUUCCACACCUCUGUGCUAGCUCUGCCCACUGGGGCUUGUACAGUCUUCUUGCACAAACCGAGAUGUUCUUCUCUUUCUAGCUCUUUCUUCACCAUUUGCUUUCCAUAGUGGACAAAGCCCUUAUUUGCUCAUUCCCCUUCCACCUACAGUGCCGACUGCUUGGAUGUGUCAUCCCAUUCCUGUAGGUCAGCAGCAAAGUUUGUGUUUUGAAGGAGUGUCUCUAAACCUGCUCUAACGUGCUGUGACUUUUCUGAUGCUGACUUGGCUGUGACUGAGCUCAGGAGCAUACUGAGCAGAGAUGAGUUCGGCAUGUGCCUGUGGCAGGUCCUGAGUGAUGGAGCGAGCAGCCCCCAGGAUGGGAGAUCUGGAGUUGAGCCAGUCUUGGGGCUGCCUGAAUACACAAGUGUGUGCAGUGCUGCCUGGACAGAGACACAUCCAAGGAAAGAAGAGAGUGUAUUCAACAACUAUUCAACAACUCCUCAAGAUGUCAUCCAGGAGACCGUGUUAUGAACCAGGAGCCUAAACAAAGAAUAACUAGAUUGCCU
rnacentral:lncRNA from 1 species